CGAUUAGCUCAGUUGGUAGAGCACCUCCCUUACAAGGAGGGGGUCAGUGGUU
rnacentral:tRNA from 4 species